rnacentral:rRNA from 1 species
GGUCUUUUGUGUAUAUAAAAGAUUUGGCCUGCCCAAUGAUUUAUUUAAAUGGCUGCAGUAUUUUGACUGUACAAAGGUAGCAUAAUCAUUUGUCUUUUUAUUGAAGGCUGGUAUGAAUGGUUGGAUGAAAAAUAUUCUUUCUUUGUUUUAUAUAUUGAAUUUGAUUUUUUAGUCAAAAAGCUAAAAUGUUUUUGUAGGACGAGAAGACCCUAUAGAACUUUAUUUUUAGGAAUUAUGGUUUUUUUGGUUUAUGAAAAUUUUAUAUUUUUGUUAAAUUUUGUUGGGGUGAUGGAAAAAAUUUUAUAACUUUUUCUUUUUUAUACAUUUAUUUAUGUUUUUUUGAUCCUUUAUUAUGGAUAAUAAGACUAAGUUACCUUAGGGAUAACAGCGUUAUUUUUUUGGAGAGUUCAUAUCGAUGAAAAAGUUUGCGACCUCGAUGUUGGAUUAAAAUAAGUGACAGGAGUAGAAUAUUGUUUUUCUGGGUCUGUUCGACCUUUAAAUUUUUACA